rnacentral:rRNA from 1 species
UACGUAGGUGGCGAGCGUUGUCCGGAUUUACUGGGCGUAAAGAGCGCGCAGGCGGUCGUUCAAGUCGCGUGUGAAAGCCCCCGGCUCAACUGGGGAGGGUCACGCGAUACUGAUCGACUCGAAGGCAGGAGAGGGUAGUGGAAUUCCCGGUGUAGUGGUGAAAUGCGUAGAGAUCCGGAGGAACACCGACGGCGUAGGCAGCGCCCUGGACGACACCUGACGCUGAGGCACGAAAGCUGGGGGAGCGAACAGG